rnacentral:rRNA from 1 species
CCUACGGGAGGCAGCAGUGAGGAAUAUUGGUCAAUGGGCGGAAGCCUGAACCAGCCAAGUAGCGUGCGGGAUGAAGGCCCUACGGGUCGUAAACCUCUUUUGCACGGGGAUAACACCCUCCACUUUUGGAGGUCUGCAGGUACCGUGCGAAUAAGGGCCGGCUAAUUCCGUGCCCGCAGCCGCGGUAAUAAGGAAGGCCCGAGCGUUAUCCGGAUUCAUUGGGCUUAAGGGGAGCGUAGGCGGGCGUUCAAGUCAGCGGUAAAAUCGCUCGGCUAAACCGCGCCCCGCAGUUGAAACUGGACGCGUUGAGUUCACAACAGGCAGGCGGAAUUCGUGGUGUAGCGGUGAAAUGCAUAGAUAUCACGAGGAACCCCGAUUGCGAAGGCAGCCUGCCGGGGUGCGACUGACGCUGAGGCUCGAAGGUGCGGGUAUCAAACAGGAUUAGAUACCCCAGUAGUC